CGACACCUUUGGGUCCUUGACAACAAUGACGCUUGAUGACAGUCGCUACAACACGUGCAGGUGACAGCUAUCACACAACUGCACAUAUUCCAGCAAAUAAACCGACACACAGUGCGAUAAAAUGCGGGAAUCGAGUGUCAUUUAACUCCUCGAAUAAGGGAUGUUUGGACACCCAGUCAUCAGAAGCAGAGCUGUAGGAAGUGUGGACAGACAUUGCCUGUAAUGAUGGACUUCUGCUGAUGGACAGGCAGAAAACCAUAACCGCUGCUGGACAUCGUACUGUGGCCUGGGGGGGGACCCGAAUCAUCCCCACCCCUUCACGCACACACCAUUCACUCAUAUCGCAGAGAUCUGGCUGGGAUCGAACCAGCAACCUCUGAACCCAUGAGGCAGCGCUCUUAACCUGUGAGCCACAGAUCUCUUGUUUGAACAUGUGCAGGAACUUAUAUUUCACUGUUAACCUGACCUGUGAUUUACAAUAAACUAGUUAAAGCUUUCAGUUGUGUGUUUGUCAUGAUUGAGGUGGGAUUUGAACCCAAGCCUCCAUCACAGUCUCACCAUCAGAGAACGUGUGUUUAGCCACUUGUGCCACUGUGACUUUCACACUUAACGUUUGGGUUUGGGUUUGGGUUUGGGCCACUUUAUUGGAUAUAAUGGCAACAAGUUAAUGUUAGCAAUAGUGGGAUUUGAACCCAUGUUUUAUCACAGGCUUGUCACCAGAAAGCAUGUGUUUAGCCGCUCACACCACUGUGGCUUUCACAUUGAGCUCUGGUGUUUGGCCCACUUUGUUGGAUAUAAUGCCAACAAUGUAACAUAGGCAAUAAUGGGAUUUGAACCCAAGCAUCUAUCACAGUCUCAUCACCAGAGAACGUGUGUUUAGCCACUUGUGCCACUGUGACUUUCACACCGAGCGCUGGCGUUUGGCCCACUUUGUUGGAUAUAAUGCCAACAAUUUUACAUAAGCAAUAGUGGGAUUUGAUCUCAGGACGUUCACGUACAACAAGCAGUUAAUAAUCCACUGAUCCACAGAGCCUGUGAUGAUCAUGAGAAGUUUUUCAUACAUUUUAUUAUCUUUAGCACAUGUUUUUUUUUUGGGUAAUGCAGACAGUGUAUUUGUGUUCUUGGCUUUGUCAGCUUUUACUGGCUUAAGAACAUUAUCUGAGGGAAAUGAGUGACUGUAUGUAAAUAUUACCUACCAAAUGUACACACACUUAUAAAAAUUUUCAUUAAGAUCUUUAUUAAUUCUUUACAUGUCAAACUCAAACUGAAAACACACACAUGACUAGUAAACAGCAUUUGUUUAUUCAAGUAAAUAGAUUUGAUAUGAAUUAGAAACACAGAGAUCAACACACCUGCCUGGAAGUUUCUAGUAAAGCUGAAGACCUUGAUUAGCUGCUUCAGGUGUUUUUAAUGAGGUUGAAGCUAAACUCAGGAACGUGGCUCACCAGGAGCAGGAUUAGACAGACAGCCCUGCUUUAUUUCUUUAUUUUUUUUCUUCAUAUAUUAAUGCAGAUACACUUAUUGUCCACAAGGGGGAGACACACUGAUCUCAGAGGACUCUUAGAUUCACCUCCUCCUCAUCAGAGACACAAAAGAUCCCCUCACUGAGUCUGUUGGUGGAAAACUGCAGAAAAUUUCACAUGCUGCUGUAUUUUCAGGAAAGCAUGUGUCUCUAUGGAUGUCUGUCAGUACUUUAAUAAAAUAAAAAAACAAAUAAACCAGAAUAUUUAGCAUAGUCUGAUGGCUAUGUUUUUCUUUCAGUAAGUUAGAUUUAAUAAGUACAUACUAUAGUUUUCGGUUAAUGCUGCUCAUACUACUGUGGUUCAUGCAGAUACACUUACUGUCCACAAGACGGCGCUGAAACACUGAUAUGAAACUUUGAAAUGCAUGUUCCGUUAUAUUAAUGAGUAAAAAACUGCAUUUAAACAUCAUUAAAUGUUUCGUCGUUCAAAAUUUGUUUAACUGUGAACAGACAUGACAAAUAUCACCUAAAACAGAUAAAAACAAAUACACUUGACAGACAAACUAAAAGAAUCUCGGAUCUUUCGUCACGUGUGUUGUGUUUACGCUUGAGGCCUGUGACUUUCAGCAGAUCAUUUUAUGUCUUACCCCAUCAGAUGAGAGCUGAUCUGACUCAGAUCCUGACAAAGCAUAGAUUAGUUUUAAAAUAUAUGAAAAUUAAAACUUCAGCCCUCUCACCCAGAGCACAAAUUCACUCGCCCAGAACACUAGCUUGUCACUACAGUACUGAAAGCAGAAAGACAGAAACUGAAGCGCAGUUUACCAUCCGCUCCACUAGGCGGCGUAAGCGUGUUUCACUGUCAGCGCGACACCUUUGGGUCCUUGACAACAAUGACGCUUGACGACAGUCGCUACAACACGUGCAGGUGACAGCUAUCACACAACUGCACAUAUUCCAGCAAAUAAACCGACACACAGUGCGAUAAAAUGCGGGAAUCGAGUGUCAUUUAACUCCUCGAAUAAGGGAUGUUUGGACACCCAGUCAUCAGAAGCAGAGCUGUAGGAAGUGUGGACAGACACUGACUGUAAUGAUGAACUUCUGCUGCUGGACAGGUAGAAAACCAUAACCGCUGCUGGACAUCGUACUGUGGCCUGGGGGGGGGACCCGAAUCAUCCCCACCCCUUCACACACACACCAUUCACUCAUAUCGCUGAGAUCUGGCUGGGAUCGAACCAGCAACCUCUGAACCCAUGAGGCAGUGCUCUUAACCUGUGAGCCACAGAUCUCUUGUUUGAACAUGUGCAGGAACUUAUAUUUCACUGUUAUCCUGACCUGUGAUUUACAAUAAACUAGUUAAAGUUUUCA